rnacentral:lncRNA from 1 species
GUGGCCAGGGAGCCGCAGGCAAGGGACUAAGGGGAGGGGGGCUCAGUGCCAGCUGCUUAAAAAUGCCCCUGUGGCAGCGAGGGGCACCAGAGGCUGGGUCUAAUUAGUUGAGAAGCAGUGACACCCCCAACCACUCCCCAAACAGGCUGGCUCCCGUCUCCAGGCCCCAAGGAGCCACACCUGGACCAGACCCCAGGAAAGGCAAGGGCGCUAGCUGGUGGGAGCCACCCCGCCAUGCUGAUGUCAGAGAAGCAAGAACUCUGGAGAAGCAGCCUCCUGGGACCAGAGGAGGGCCAGCAGCAGGCAGCCCGGAGACAGAACUCUCACCCACGCCUCUCCAAGCCUCCCAACAGAAGACAGAGGUCCCCCACAGCCAGAGACAUUUCCUGAAGACAUGGGGAACACAGAGGCAGAAACAGCCCAUCCACCCAGGAGCUGUCCCCCACACUGCCGGGAGCCGGCACCCAGAGCCGCCAGGUAAAACUGAGGCCACCUGGUUCAACAUCACCUUUCACAGAAGGGGAAGCAGCCACAGAAAGAAGGGCCUCGUUAAGAAGUGGAACCUGGGACCCCCAAGCGGUGUCUCUCAUCCUGACUGGGGAUCCAGAGUAGGAGGGAGCCUUUGGUGGGGUUGGAGUCCCGCCACAGGCCACCAGAGCGGAGCAGCGCAGCGCCCUGUCUCCCAGCCUGAGGUGCAGUGCUGCAUCUCUGGUCAGUUGGGAGUCUGAGAUGAAGCACUGUAGCUCAGGAAGAGAGAAGUUGUUCUGCAGCCAUCAGCCUGGAAGUGUUGCCCCCCAAUGGGGCCUCGGCUGGCUCACAGGAUGAGGGUUCAAGAAGAAGGCUGUCCCUGGAGGUAAGAGGGCUUAUGAACCAUGUUCCAAACCUUUGCGUUGCUUUUCUUUCCAUCGUGUCUAUUUCAUAACAUCCCUGUGAGGCUGGAUGUGGGAACUUCAGCACUGCCGUACUCUUGGGAAAUUUGUCCAAGGCCACCCGGCUGAGCAGCGGUUGAACCAGGACACCAUCAGGCAUGCGUUUCUUGUCUCCACCACACCCUCAACCCACUUCCCAACGCGCCUUGCGACAGGGGCUGCGGUAUUGCAUCCACAUGACUGAUAAACUAGUAAACACACAUGAAUUC